AAUCAAAGUUAAAAGAAAAUGAUGAAAAAUCGAGUCCGGUUCAAAUCUCUUAAGCCAUGCAAGGGAAUCCGCCCGUGACCACCGCGUAUAAGGAACACUCUAAGUGAAAACCCAACUGCAUGUCUGGAACCGACAACUACCACUUUCACUCUCCUCUCUCUGUUACUCCUCAAAGCUACAUUGGCCUGAUCUUCUUCUAUUUAUGCUCUUAUAAUCUCUUAUUAUUUCUACUUCACAAAUCUCACUCUUUCUCGGAACUCAACCUAACCUCUCUCUCUAUGAAGCAGAAGAAGGCCAAGACGGGAUCAGUCUCGCUGAAAAUAGGAGAUGGGACUGCCAGAUUCAAGAGAGCCACUGUGUGUUCCUCCACAGUCAACAUUCUUAUGAUCUUCUCUGUUGUCGCCACUAAUCUCUUUGCUCUCUAUGCCUUCACAUCCUUGCCCAAACACUAUCAAAAUCAUAUUUUUCACAACACCCACAAGAACAUCUCUCUACUCUCUGAACAAGUCUCUGCAAUCCUAAGUGAGAUUGAUUCUUCCCAAAAACAACUUGCAAAGAUGGAAAAGGAGCUCUUGGGCUAUGAAACCAUAGAUAUUUCAAGACCCAAUAUUGCAAAUGAGCUCAAAUUAUUUUUACAACAUCACCAACUGCCUCUUGGUAAAGAUUCAAGAACUGGGAUUACUGAAAUGGUGGCAUCUGUUGGGCAUUCUUGUGAGAAAUCUGCAGAUUUAUUGUCUCAAUACAUGAAUUACAAAGUAUCUGGGCCUUGUCCUGAUGACUGGAAUCUUGGCCAGAAGCUGAUUUUGCGUGGAUGCGAGCCUUUGCCGAGGAGAAGAUGCCUUGCUAAGCCAAUUCCCAAGGUGGGUCUUUCUCCUUUUCCUAUUUCUCUAUGGAAGCCUAUCAGUGAAAAGAUUCUAACUUGGAGUGGUCUUGGUUGCAAAAAUUUUGAGUGCUUAAAUAAAAAGAAACUGAGUAGGGAAUGUGUUGGUUGCUUUGAUUUGGCAAAUGGGUAUGAGAAUCAAAAAUUUGUUAAGGCUAAAAGCAAGAAUGAUUUUCUUAUUGAUGAUGUGUUAGCUUUAGCAAGUGGAGGAAUUAGAAUAGGAUUUGAUAUUGGUGGUGGGUCUGGAACCUUUGCUGCUACAAUGGCAGAGAGAAAUGUGACUGUGAUCACCAACACUUUGAAUAUUGAUGCUCCGUUUAGCGAAUUCAUUGCAUCAAGAGGGCUUUUUCCUCUGUAUUUGAGCCUAGAUCAUAGGUUCCCUUUCUAUGAUAAUGUGUUUGAUUUGGUUCAUGCAUCUAGUGGAUUGGAUGUAGGGAGCAAAUCUGAAAAACUGGAGUUCUUAAUGUUUGACAUCGAUCGAAUUUUGAGAGCUGGUGGAUUGCUUUGGUUGGAUAACUUCUAUUGCAUUGAUGAGGAGAAGAAGAGGACAUUGACUCGAUUGAUAGAGAGAUUUGGUUAUAAAAAGCUGAAAUGGAUUGUGGGAGGGAAGAUAGAUACAGCUUUUUCAGGAAAAUCUGAGAUUUAUUUGUCUGCAGUGCUGCAAAAGCCGGCAAGAGUUUGAAGGUUAGAGCUUUCAAAGGAAACUGCAAGAGUCCUGCUGCAGGAAAGCUUUUGAGUCUGCCAGGCUUGCUGAAGUAAUCUGAGACUGAAUAUCCUGGCUUGUGCUGAAGUUGCCAACCAAACAAUCUGAAGGAUUUUGGAAAUCAUGCACCUUUGAUGUACAAAACUCAUCCAAUAUUUCACUUGACACAGAAGGAUCAAUUGCAGCACUCCCCUCAUUGCGAACAUCAAUAUUAAGAGAGCCAUAAAUCCCAUUUUGAUCAUUGCUCUCAUCUGAUAAAUCUUUUCCUUCACUUGAGUUAAGGCUUCUUGCUGAGCUAAAGGAAUGAGUUGCCUUGCUGGGGAUGAAAAUCUUAAAUUGUUCAGUUGCUGAUCCCACAAAUCCUGGCUCAUUAAAGGGGGAUGCAACUUCCCAGGUAAAUUUACUUUUGAUGAAGAUGAGUUGAUCACAUCCUAUUGGUUGGGGCAAAACUGGGAACAAUUUUGGUCUUCUGAUAUAAUCUACUGACUGGUUAAGUUGAGGCAUUUGACUGACUAUUGCCUGCAUGCACUUAACAUCAUGUAAAGAAGUCACCUUGGCAAGAGAGACUUGUGGUAGAGCAGAAUCACGUAUUCCAGGAUGGUUAACUUCUUGAGGUUUCAUUAACAUCUUAAAUAAUCGCUGAGAAGAUAGGUUCGGCAUUCAAGAAUAU